UAGGGAAUCUUCCGCAAUGGACGCAAGUCUGACGGAGCAACGCCGCGUGAGUGAAGAAGGAUUUCGGUUCGUAAAACUCUGUUGUUAGAGAAGAACAGCGCAUAGAGUAACUGUUAUGCGUGUGACGGUAUCUAACCAGAAAGCCACGGCUAACUACGUGCCAGCAGCCGCGGUAAUACGUAGGUGGCAAGCGUUGUCCGGAUUUAUUGGGCGUAAAGCGAGCGCAGGCGGUUAGAAAAGUCUGAAGUGAAAGGCAGUGGCUCAACCAUUGUAGGCUUUGGAAACUGUUUAACUUGAGUGCAGAAGGGGAGAGUGGAAUUCCAUGUGUAGCGGUGAAAUGCGUAGAUAUAUGGAGGAACACCGGUAGCGAAAGCGGCUCUCUGGUCUGUAACUGACGCUGAGGCUCGAAAGCGUGGGGAGCGAACAGG
rnacentral:rRNA from 1 species